rnacentral:rRNA from 1 species
GCAAGUUGAACGUGAUCUAGCCUAUGAUUCAUCAGGGACUAGUGAAAGUAGCGGACGGGUGAGUAACGCGUGAGCAAUCUGCCUCAUACUGGGGGAUAGCCCCGAGAAAUUGGGAUUAAUACCGCAUAAGACCACAGCAUCGCAUGGUGCAGUGGUAAAAACUCCGGUGGUAUGAGAGGAGCUCGCGUCUGAUUAGCUAGUUGGUGGGGUAAAAGCCUACCAAGGCCACGAUCAGUAGCCGGCCUGAGAGGGCGGAC